rnacentral:snRNA from 1 species
CUCAGUACCUGGCAGGGGAGAUACCAUGAUCACGAAGGUGGUUUUCCCAGGGUGAGGCUUAUCCCUUGCACUCCGGAUGUGCUGACCCCUGCAAUUUCCCCAAAUGUGGGAAACUCGACUGCAUAAUUUGUGGUAGUGGGGGACUAC